CAGAGAAUGAAUCUAGUACUGAAAGCAUAAGCUACAGCUAGCUAACACUGCAGUGCAUAAAAUGUGAUGAGUAGCUGGCUCAAAGUGAGAGAAAGACAAUAGUUGAACAGCUUUGAACAAAUUAAUUUCUUUAAAAAAUGAAGGAGAAGCAAGAGAGAGAGAGAGAGCUAGAUAUAUUUCAUUGUAUUACAGUAUUUUUUUCACUUUCACUUAGCUAGCGAAUGCAGCUAGCUAGUUUAGCCUACUCAAACACCCGGCUCAAACAGAGAGGGGUGCUAUCUAUGUUAGUAACCUGGCUAUGGUUAUCCAACACUGGAACUCUUCCAAGUCAAGGUCACAGACAGCUGAUGUGUUGUGCACUGAAGUCCACAAGUAAGGGAAAAAGUGAGAGAAGGAGAGCGCGUAGAUGUGAGAAGGAAUUAUACAAUCAUGCAGUUUGUAUGUGGUUAUGAAAGUGAACUGUUUGUGUGUGAUCAGGGAUGUAGGGGGAGUGGCUUCCAUCUGACCACUCUACCAUAAAGGCCUGAUUGUUGACGUGCUACAGAGAUGAUUGUCCUUCUGGAAGGUUCUCCUAUCUCCACAGAACAAAUGAGUCAAUGGAAAGAUGUGGGGUGAUGAAAGAGAGCCAUGCCACCACCACUCAGAGCAGCCAGGGCCAGAAGAGGAAGAGGAAGAGGUGCCAGCUCUGCCCACCACUCAGAGCAACCAGGGCCAGAAGAGGAUGAGGAAGAGGUGCCAGCUCUGCCCACCACUCAGAGCAACCAGGGCCAGAAGAGGAAGAGGAAGAGGUGCCAGCUCUGCCCACCACUCAGAGCAGCCAGGGCCAGAAGAGGAAGAGGUGCCAGCUCUGCCCACCACUCAGAGCAGCCAGGGCCAGAAGAGGAAGAGGUGCCAGUUCUGCCCACCACUCAGAGCAGCCAGGGCCAGAAGAGGAAGAGGAAGAGGUUCCAGCUCUGCCCAAGUGCAAAGGAUAGAAAAGCCAGCUGCUGGUGUUCAGGUCUCAGUGCAACACACCCGUCUGCAAACAUGUUUUUGGUUUGGAACAAAUGCAUGGACUAAGACAGCAUACGUAAGCAUCACACACACAUGUUUUUCCUUUUGGUGUUCAUGUUUUAUAAAUUCACAAUUGUUAGUUUUGUCAUUUACAUUGAUGAUGAACUUUGGAUUUUCAAAUAAAUGUUUUGAAAUAUUGUAAAGCAUUCUUCAAGU
ensembl:lncRNA